rnacentral:tRNA from 1 species
AGGAGUGUAAUUCAGUGGCAGAAUGCCGGUCUCCAAAACCGGAUACGGGGGUUCGAUUCCCUCCACUCCUG